rnacentral:lncRNA from 1 species
GCCAAUGGCGCAGUGUUACCACCCCGACAGAUACGGGCCGAGUCACCCUAGAUUAGUGACCGGGGCGAGCAUAUCGAGUGUGGUACCUUGCCUUGGUCAGCUUUCGACCGGGUCCUAGUCUCCCGUCGGCUUUCGUCCCUGGAGGAAACAGAUCCAAAGAUGCGCGCGUUUCUCCUGUUCGCCGUACUGAUCGGAGGUUCACUGGCCUGCCAGAACCGCUUGGAGACCCUAGUUCAAGAGGCCAGCGGUGGAGCACCUGAUCUGUCUACCGACGUACGAGACGAGUGCAACGCGCGGGUGGGCACGUUCAACUCCGUGCAUGCGCCCCAGUACAAGAAAGUGAUCAACAAGGCUCUGAAACUGGCUCUGCAGUACAUGUCGAUCUCCAGCCACUUCGGCCGGGACACA